UUGGAGCCAAGCCCUAACCCUAGCUCACUGAUGGUGGCUUUAGGGUGAGUGAUGGAGGACGCCGACGCGGGAGUGGCAACGGCUGGAGCGCCAGAAGGUUGUUUGCCUCCUCGCAAGCGUCUGCUCAACCGCGGCGCCAGUGAUCCGAGCAAAGGUAUGGCGGAAGGGGGAAUCGCGGCCGUGGCGGUCGACCAGGGCGGCGCUGGAGCUGUGGGAGCUCUUCCAGGCCCGGCGGCAGUGGCAGGAGCAGCGCCUGGCCUGGGAUCGGGUGCGCCGGGGGGAAAAUCCGACGAGAGCUGCUCGUGGUGUGGGAGCAAAGAGAACAGCGCUUGGCGGCGCGUGAAGAAGAGUGGGGUUUACCAGCGGCUGUGCAACACUUGCACCAUGCUCUACAGCAUGAAUAUGUUCUGCCCCUACUGCCUCGUCACUUACCAGGACGCGGGGACUCUGGGUGAUCCUAAGAUCUGGCUCAACUGUGGACAGUGCAAGCGAUCGGUUCACGUAGAAUGCGAGACGAAGAACUCUCCCGGCGCGGCUCUCGACCCAAAUGCGUAUACUUGUCCCGAGUGUAGGAACAAGAACGAGGAGAGUACCAGCCCGGCAAGCCCAUCGCACAAAAAGGCCCGGACUGUCAAGAGCGAGGGUGAUGAUCCUAGUGCUGCUGCCAAUCCUAGCGCUACUACUGCUGCUACUACUCCGACUACUGAGGCUCCCAUGGAAGAGGAUAGCAAGCAGGUACUUCCUCCAAAGCCAAGUGUUAAUCAAGCCCAGGAAGCGUUGCAAGCGGCGAAGAACGCUGCCCAGGCUGCUGCUAGAGCUGCCGCUAACGCAAAGGCGACGGCUCUUGCGAAAGCCCAAGCUGCGGCCAAGGCUGCUCUUGCCGCCAAGGCUGCGCUUGACAUCGCGGCACAGGCUGCUAGAGCAGAGAUACAUGCCAGGUCUGAGCUACGGCGGAAUGGUGUUCGUCUGGAGCCUAGAGUCGGCGGCUUGAUUGGAGCGAAGCUGGAUCCCUCGGAGAAAGGGAAGGAAGAGAGCCAGGGCGACGAGAUGCAUAUCACUUCGCCAAGGUCUGCUCGUGGAGUCCGGCGAAAGCAGGAAGGAAUGUCGCCAGGAGCUUCUCCAUCUGGAGUGGAGCCGAAGGAGGAGCCUGGUGAGUCGAUGCUUCAAAAGCAGCAGCCCCGGAUCAAGGAAGAAGACCAAGCCAACCACGCUCUCUACCAGACUGUCGACACCCACGGCUUCCCAUCGACGUACUUAUCGGAUCCCAACGCCGCGUUUCCGUUCGCGGACAUCCUCUCCGGCUUUCCUUCUCAAUCCGAGGAGCACGGCGGGGUCACGGCCAUGGAUACCGACGACGGUGGUCCUCACGAGGUUGUCAACUUAGGCCAAGGCGGUGUCCAACAGCAGGUCGAUAUGGCUGCCGCAGUGAAGAAGGCCGCGGACGAAGGGAACGCAUUGACAAAGGCACAGGCAUCUGCCGAUCAGGAAGCUAACAAGACGGACACUGACAUAUCGUUUUACGGAGUUCCAUCCGACGCGAAGUUCGAGAUUGGCAAGUGGAAUGAAGACGUGAAGCCAGAGGAAGCUCCUGUAGUCGAUGACAAGCAGCAGCAGAUAGGCAUUGAGGAUUACGCAAAUGAGGGCCUUCCAGAGGUUGCAGCGCAGGAAAACAAUCCAAGCGAUGGAGCCAAGGCUGAAGAAGUGGUGGAGGCCGCUCCAAGGGAUCAGGAAGAGGUAGUCAACGAAGUAGUGGUGCAGCCCGGGUCCGAGGAUGCUGGAGAUGCGUCAACGAACAAAGGUGUGGAGCCUGAGAGUACGAAUGCCGGUGAUCUGAAAGGAACGCAGACCGCGUCGCUGGAGUUGUCCGACGUCGCUAAGAAUCCGGCAGCUCCUCCUGUAGCUUCCGAAAAUGAUGCAGUCGAGGCGCAGUGAGAAUCAAAUCUGGGAGAAAUCAGUCCAUUGUACCUUGUCCAUACUGGCAUAUUAUAUUUUGUCUAAAGAACCACCAUUCAAUGCAGAUGAACUUUGAGAACUUUGAAAGAAAGAAAAAAGUUACCUACUACAGUUUCCUAGUUGCUACCAGCGACGAGCAUCCUUGGAGUCGGCGUCCGACUGCCAGGCCUCGAUCGAGUUAGACCAUGACGGUGUUGUGAGUGAGCUCGUGUAAGAUUUACUGAUGAUCGCCAUGGCAGCGGCGCUGGGAACGUAGCCGAGGCCAGAGACCGAGGCCAAGUUUUCGUCCGACCAUCGGUUGAUCCACGACCCUUCCUUGCGGAUGGAUUGCCGUUUGGUGUAGAGCGGUCGGGUUAGAACAGACUCCGGAUGGACAAAGUUCUCCUGGUUUGAUCCAGAUUGCUGCAAGCAAACCAGGCAAAAUGAGAUUUUUCUCC